GUGGAGAGGAGCUAGGAGAAGGAGAUUUUGGAGCUUUGGAGGGUCAAGAAGCUCUCCAACAAGAAGGAGUUUGCUAGGGCUUGGACAAAGGACACGAGUUCGACGUCCGUGUGGCGCACGAGACUCCACACCUUGCUUCUACUACCCCUCGAGAGCCGGGACCCAGCGAGCCGGCGGACGAUCGCGGUAAGGG